CCACUCGACCUCGGCGCCACCGUC
rnacentral:siRNA from 1 species